GAUGAACGCUGGCGGCGUGCCUAAGACAUGCAAGUCGAGUGGGUUUAGACCCACGGCGAACGGGUGAGUAAUACCUAGGAACUUUUUUUAAGUGGAGCAUAACCAGUCGAAAGAUUGGAUAAUACUCCAUAUUAUCGUAAGAUGAAAGCAGCAAUGCGCUUAAAAUGAGGCCUGGGCACCAUCAGCUAGUUGGUAAGGUAAUGGCUUACCAAGGCUAUGACGGUUAGGGGUCCCGAGAGGGAUAACCCCCACACUGGAACUGCGACACGGUCCAG
rnacentral:rRNA from 1 species